ensembl:lncRNA
GCAAGUUAGGAGGAGUGGGAGGAGUUGCCAUCUAUGUUAAGAAGUGGAUAGACUGCGAAGAGUUGCCUCUGAAAAACAUUUGUGAACAGGUUCCACUGUUACAAAGAGAGCAACUAGAAGAGGGAGAGAGUCUUUGGAGAAUCUUACCUUGCCAGCCUCAGACAUCACCUGAAGUGAUCCAGUCCAGAUGUCAGAAGAAUGGGGAACUGAGGGAGCUCUGUAAUGACAGGAGAAGCCUACAAGAGAUGCCAAGAUAUGUGGAAAUAAUUAAUGCCACUCAUGCUGUGACAAACAACUUAGAUCUAAAAGCAUGUCGCAACCCAAGCAUAUUGCAACUCAAGCAAUCAUUAAUGGGAGCAGAAAGCUGUGCCUGUCAAAGGUAGGAU